rnacentral:rRNA from 1 species
AGAGUUUGAUCCUGGCUCAGGAUGAACGCUAGCGGCAGGCUUAACACAUGCAAGUCGAGGGGUAACAGGAGUAGCUUGCUACUUGCUGACGACCGGCGCACGGGUGCGUAACGCGUAUAGAAUCUGCCUUACACUGAGGGAUAGCCUUUGGAAACGAAGAUUAAUACCUCAUGGUAUCAUUAGAUGGCAUCAUUUAAUGAUUAAAGGUUACGGUGUAAGAUGACUAUGCGUCCUAUUAGCUUGUUGGUAAGGUAACGGCUUACCAAGGCAACGAUAGGUAGGGGCCCUGAGAGGGGGAUCCCCCACACUGGUACUGAGACACGGACCAGACUCCUACGGGAGGCAGCAGUGAGGAAUAUUGGACAAUGGAGGCAACUCUGAUCCAGCCAUGCCGCGUGAAGGAUGACUGCCCUAUGGGUUGUAAACUUCUUUUAUAUAGGAAGAAACAGUUUCUCGUGAGAAACCUUGACGGUACUAUAUGAAUAAGCACCGGCUAACUCCGUGCCAGCAGCCGCGGUAAUACGGAGGGUGCAAGCGUUAUCCGGAAUCAUUGGGUUUAAAGGGUCCGUAGGCGGAUAGAUAAGUCAGAGGUGAAAUCCUGCAGCUCAACUGUAGAAUUGCCUUUGAAACUGUUUAUCUUGAGUUAUUGUGAAGUGGUUAGAAUAUGUAGUGUAGCGGUGAAAUGCUUAGAGAUUACAUGGAAUACCGAUUGCGAAGGCAGAUCACUAACAAUAUACUGACGCUGAUGGACGAAAGCGUGGGGAGCGAACAGGAUUAGAUACCCUGGUAGUCCACGCCGUAAACGAUGGAUACUAGCUGUUCGGAAUUUAUUCUGAGUGGCUAAGCGAAAGUGAUAAGUAUCCCACCUGGGGAGUACGUUCGCAAGAAUGAAACUCAAAGGAAUUGACGGGGGCCCGCACAAGCGG